rnacentral:rRNA from 1 species
GAUGAACGCUGGCGGCGUGCCUAAUACAUGCAAGUCGAGCGAACGGACGAGAAGCUUGCUUUUCUGAUGUUAGCGGCGGACGGGUGAGUAACACGUGGAUAACCUACCUAUAAGACUGGGAUAACUUCGGGAAACCGGAGCUAAUACCGUAUAAUAUUUUGAACCGCAUGGUUCAAAAGUGAAAGACGGUCUUGCUGUCACUUAUAGAUGGAUCCGCGCUGCAUUAGCUAGUUGGUAAGGUAACGGCUUACCAAGGCAACGAUGCAUAGCCGACCUGAGAGGGUGAUCGGCGACACUGGAACUUAGACACGGUCCAGACUCCUACGGGAGGCAGCAGUAGGGAAUGUUCCGCAAUGGGCGAAAGCAUGACGGAGCAAGGCCGAGUGAGUGAUGAAGGUCUUCGGAUCGUAAAACUCGGUUAUUAGGGAAGAACAUAUGUGUAAGUAACUGUGCACAUCUUGACGGUACCUAAUAAGAAAGCCACGGCUAACUACGUG